rnacentral:lncRNA from 1 species
CUGUGCACCAAAGAAGACUGAGAAGCACAAAAAUAUUAUGAAAAAUCUUACCAAAUCCCUUUUGUUGAGAGUCCUACUUGAUAUUCUCUUAAGCAGGCAGGAAGGAGUAAGUCCCUCUCCAAAGGAGACUCAGGAGGAGUUGCUGUGCAUAGUUAUUUCAUGAUGAAUGCUGCAGCUCUUCUUGCUGAGCACAGAUCCAGAGAGGAGAAAGGAGACAAACCUCCAGGUUUACAGCAGAUCAGAGGAAGGUCAGUGGCUGGUAGGAACAUGGGAGGGGGGAAGAAAGGUGAGAACUUAAGAAUCUCUUUAAAAUCAGUGACGGCCUCUGCCUACGGGUCACGAGCGUCUCUAAAUUGGUAGUUCAUUUCUCUUCUGCUAAUUAGUAGUGGCUACAGUGGAAGUGCAUAUUCUGUCAGCCUGAAUUUAGGUUGCUGAGAAGGCAGACUGUGCCUUUUAGGUAUUCUUUUUAGGGUAAAAUCUUCCUAUUGGGCAUGCUUUAUUAUCUUGGGAUCCAUCCUUCAAUGACUUGAUAUCAUGGCAAAUUUCCUGUGUCCCAGCUGGGAUCACAAGUGUGUCCAGAAAAGCCUAUUGCUUUCCAGGAUAUCCUAGCACUGAGGGCAGGCUGAACAGAUGGGUCACAAUUUGUUUGUACCACCUCUAUGUCCUAUAUAUCUCUAUGCUUCUUAUUUAUCUUUAUAUAUAUUUAUUAAUUCAAAGACCAUUUACAACGAUUCCCUUUAUUUCAACCUCCUCUGGAUUCUAUCUGCUUGUUUGUGCCUCCAGGAAAAUCAAUCUGUGUGGGGCACUGAGCACGGCUGCAAUAAAGGAGAAAGAAAUAAAGCAGACAGUGAAAAACGACGUGUUCUCUCCAGAAGGGAAAGCAGAAGCCUCAAGCCAAAGUCCAAAGGUCAUUCCUGCUUCUGGAAUCAAGAGAGAUGGGUGGCUUUUCCCAUUGUAAUGGUUUAAAGGAUUUUUCUGGAAAAUCCACCACCUUUUCCUUAAGGAAGACACACAGGCAAGGACCAGGAUGAUGGACCCUUCAUUGAACACAGCUUCCAGAUGUGCCAGCCUCGAGGAUGUGCCAUCCCUCCAGGCUCCUGGAAAUCCUGCUGGAUGUCCCUGGCACCUUUAGGAAGACACAUGGGCAUUGCUGCAAGCCUGGCCCUGUGCCAUUUUGGAAAAGGGUUUCCAAAGCUACACCCAAGAUUAAGAAGAGAUUGAUGUAAGAGAUUACGACAAAUGCACAAAACACUUUCAUUUUCUUUAUUUUCAAUUGAUACUGUAUGAAUACAAAGUUUCUAGAAAGCUACAAAAAUUCUACCACUUUAUCAAGAAGGCAUCAAAAUGUGUCACUUUGCAAAGACAUGAAAACACCUGCAGUAACCGACACAAAAAUAGCAUUUUUAGAGUGAUGAAAUAAUUGCACUUAACUGUCAUGGAUAUUAAAGUUAUCACACAUAUGUACCGCGAAAGCUAGAAUACAUUUUUUUUUUUUUUACAAAGCACUUUAUAAAAAAAUUCUCUGCACACAAAACCUAUAAUUUUCAUAUUACUAUCAUACUAAAGAUAAAUUCACUUUAAAGCCAACACUUAAAACAUUUUAAACAAAAAAAAAAAAAAAAAAGGUACCAGUACCUACACACAGACAAUAACAAAUACAAGAAUACUGUACUGCCAAGAGGUUUGACUGAAACUCCUUUUGAAAGCUUCUGCAAAUAUGUUAAGAAAACAUUGGAGAACAUUCAGGUUUUUUUUCCAAGAGCCUUCCCUCACUGUCUAACCUAGAGGUACUUUAUCAUCAAAAGGCAAGUUCUACAUCAAAAGUUACCAGCAGCAGUACAAUAUUAAAGUAACCACUGACCAUAUAUGAAUAUGCUUAAGUCACAAACCCAUUUUAUACACAUUACACAAAUAAACAUAAAGUGAGAAUUCCA